ACCCCAGCAGCUUUCAACCUUCCCAUAGCGUCCCAUAUCCAACUACUAAUUGGACUAUGUGAAGCUGCGCACGCGCGCACACACACACACACACACACCCCCCCACACACACACACCCACACCCUGCUGUUCUCAGAUCAUCUCACCAAGUUCUCAGCCAAGAGGGCAACUUCUUCUCUAGGGGUUCCAAGGACACCCAAUAGCCUAUAGAGACUCCAUCAGACAGAGAAGUGCGGCCUCUAGCCAACAGCCCCAUGAGUGAGCCUGGAAUUGACUCCUCCAGCCCCACUGAGCCUUCAGAUGACUGCGGUUUGACCGAAACCUCAUAAGAAAGCCUGAGUCAGAACCACCCAGCUGAAACUGUUUUGAAUUCCUGACCCUCAGAUACCACAUGAGGUAGUAAAUGUUUGUUAUUUGACACUUUAAAGAUAAAGUUCCAAUUU
ensembl:lncRNA